rnacentral:lncRNA from 1 species
GUGGUAAAUAUCCUUAAUUGCUAUUACAAGGUUGUGUGUUCGAGUCUCAUUUAAUUUACUUUUGCAUCAUUUAAUAUCAAAAAUGCGAAAAUCUCUUUGUACGGCAUUUAAGGACGUUGCUAAGUAUUAGAGCAGGAUAUGUGACGGAACUGUUAUAGAUGGAAUAAAACCGUCGUUAAGUACCUCACAUAACUUGGAAAAUGCACAUUUUUGACGGAAUAUGACGGAUACGUAGGGACGGCGGAAACCCUCGCAAAACCUGUCGCUAAUGAUAUCUUCACAACC